rnacentral:lncRNA from 1 species
UUUGAAAAUGGUUAAGUCUAGGGACUUUAAAUGUAAACUAGUUACUUGAAAUUAAUUAAGAAUAAUGUUUUGAAAUGUAAACUAGUUACUUGAAAUUGAUUAAGAAUAAUGUAGUCACUUGAGAGGUGACUUGUGUUUUGAACUUAGUUAUUUGAAAGGUGACCUUGUGUUUUGAAAAUGAUUAUGUGUAGUUAUUUGAGUCUCAGAACUUGCAUUUUGAAAAUGGUUAAGUCUAGGGACUUCAAAUGUAAACUAGUUACUUGAAAUUGAUUAAGAAUGAUGUAGGCACUUGAGAGAUGAACUUGUGUUUUAAAUUUAGUAAAGUAUGGUCACUUGAGAAGUGAAGUAGCGCUUGAAAAUGUUAAAGUGUGGUUAGUUGAAAGGUGAAUUUGUGUUUUGAAUAUAGUUAAAUGUGGUCACUUCAGAAGUGAAGUAGUGACUUGAAAAUGUUUAAGUGUGGUUAGUUGAAAGGUGAAUUUGUAUUUUGAAUUUAGUUAAGUAUGGUCACUUGAGAAGUAAAGUAGUGACUUGAAAAUGUUUUAAGUGUGGUUAGUUGAAAGGUGAACUUUUGUUUUGAAUUUUGUUAAGUGUGGUCACUUGAGAAGUGAAGUAGUGACUUGAAAAUGUUUAAGUGUGGUUAGUUGAAAGGUGAAUUUGUGUUUUGAAUUUAGUUAAGUGUGGUCACUUGAAAAGUGAAGUGGUGACUUAAAAAUGUUCAAGUGUGGUUAGUUGAAAGGUGUACUUUUGUUUUGCCUUUAGUUAAGUGUGGUCACUUGAGAAGUGAACUAGUGACUUGAAAAUGUUUGAAUGUAGUUACUUGAAAGGUGAUCUUGUGUUUUGAAUUUAAUUAAGUGUGGUCACUUGAGAAGUGAAUUAAUGAUUUGAUAAUGAUCAAGUGUAGUCACUUGAGAAGUGAAUUGGUGACUUAUGUUUUGAACUUAGUAAUUUGAAAGGCGACCUUAUGUUUUGAUAAUGAUUAUGUGUAGUUAUUUGAGGAUGUGAACUUUCAUUUUGAAAAUGGUUAAGUCUAGGGACUUUAAAUGUAAACUAGUUACUUGAAAUUGAUUAGGAAUGAUGUUUUGAAAUGUAAACUAGUUACUUGAAAUUGAUUAAGAAUAAUGUAGUCACUUGAGAGGUGACUUGUGUUUUGAACUUAGUUAUUUGAAAGGUGACCUUGUGUUUUGAAAAUAAUUGUGUGUAGUUAUUUGAGAAUGUGAACUUGCAUUUUGAAAAUGGUUAAGUCUAGG